rnacentral:rRNA from 1 species
GACGAACGCUGGCGGCGUGCUUAACACAUGCAAGUCGAACGGAAAGGCCCUGCUUUUGUGGGGUGCUCGAGUGGCGAACGGGUGAGUAACACGUGAGUAACCUGCCCUUGACUUUGGGAUAACUUCAGGAAACUGGGGCUAAUACCGGAUAGGAGCUCCUGCUGCAUGGUGGGGGUUGGAAAGUUUCGGCGGUUGGGGAUGGACUCGCGGCUUAUCAGCUUGUUGGUGGGGUAGUGGCUUACCAAGGCUUUGACGGGUAGUCGGCCUGAGAGGGUGACCGGCCACAUUGGGACUGAGAUACGGCCCAGACUCCUACGGGAGGCAGCAGGGGGGAAUAUUGCACAAUGGGCGGAAGCCUGAUGCAGCAACGCCGCGUGCGGGAUGACGGCCUUCGGGUUGUAAACCGCUUUCGCCUGUGACGAAGCGUGAGUGACGGUAAUGGGUAAAGAAGCACCGGCUAACUACGUG